UACGUAGGGGGCAAGCGUUGUCCGGAUUUAUUGGGCGUAAAGAGCGUGUAGGCGGCCAAGCAGGUCCGCUGUGAAAACUCGAGGCUCAACCUCGAGACGUCGGUGGAAACCGUUUGGCUAGAGUCCGGAAGAGGAGAGUGGAAUUCCCGGUGUAGCGGUGAAGUGCGCAGAUAUCGGGAAGAACACCCGUGGCGAAGGCGGCUCUCUGGGACGGUACUGACGCUGAGACGCGAAAGCGGUGGGGAGCGAACAGG
rnacentral:rRNA from 1 species